rnacentral:rRNA from 1 species
GACGAACGCUGGCGGCGUGCUUAACACAUGCAAGUCGAACGGAAAGGCCCUGCUUUUGUGGGGUGCUCGAGUGGCGAACGGGUGAGUAACACGUGAGUAACCUGCCCUUUACUUUGGGAUAACUUCAGGAAACUGGGGCUAAUACCGGAUAGGAGCUCCUGCUGCAUGGUGGUGGUUGGAAAGUUUCGGCGGUUGGGGAUGGACUCGCUGCUUAUUAGCUUGUUGGUGGGGUAGUUGCUUACCAAGGUUUUGACGGGUAGCCGGCAUGAGAGGGUGACCGGCCACAUGGGGACUGAGAUACGGCCCAGAGGCCUACGGGAGGCAGCAGUGGGAAAUAUUGCACAAUGGGCGGAAGGCUGAUGGAGCAACGCCGCGUGCGGGAUGACGGCCGUCGGGUUGGAAAGCGCUUUCGAGUGUGACGAAGCGUGAGUGACGGUAAUGGGUAAAGAAGCACCGGCUAACUACGUG